UUGGGGUAUCGUCAAGUGGUAAGACAACUGUUUUUGGUGCAGUCAUGCGGAGGUUCGAAUCCUUCUGCCCCAGA
rnacentral:tRNA from 1 species